rnacentral:rRNA from 1 species
CCCUUAGAUGUUCUGGGCCGCACGCGUGCUACACUGAGUGGAUCAGCGGGUCAGGUUGCGCGAAAGCGUUUCCUAAUCUUUAAAUCCGCUCGUGAUGGGGAUUGACGGUUGCAAUUUUCUGUCAUGAACGAGGAAUACCUUGUAAGCGCGGGUCAUCAUCCCGCGCUGAAUACGUCCCUGCCCUUUGUACACACCGCCCGUCGCUCCUACCGAUUGAGUGGUCCGGUGAGGCUUUGAGAUCUGAGCGGAAAGAGCGUUUCGCUGUUUCUGCUCGGAAAACUCAGUCGAACCUUAUCAUUUAGAGGAAGGAGAAGUCGUAACA